GACGAACGCUGGCGGCGUGCUUAACACAUGCAAGUCGAACGGAAAGGCCCUGCUUUUGUGGGGUGCUCGAGUGGCGAACGGGUGAGUAACACGUGAGUAACCUGCCCUUGACUUUGGGAUAACUUCAGGAAACUGGGGCUAAUACCGGAUAGGAGCUCCUGCUGCAGGGUGGGGGUUGGAAAGUUUCGGCGGUUGGGGAUGGACUGGCGGCUUAUCAGCUUGUUGGUGGGGUAGUGGCUUACCAAGGCUUUGGCGGGUAGCCGGCCUGAGAGGGUGAACGGCCACAUUGGGACUGCGAUACGGCCCAGACUCCUACGGGAGGCAGCAGUGGGGAAUAUUGCACAAUGGGCGGAAGCCUGAUGCAGCAACGCCGCGUGCGGGAUGACGGCCUUCGGGUUGUAAACCGCUUUCGCCUGUGACGAAGCGUGAGUGACGGUAAUGGGUAAAGAAGCACCGGCUAACUACGUG
rnacentral:rRNA from 1 species